UACGUAGGGGGCAAGCGUUGUCCGGAUUUACUGGGCGUAAAGAGCGUGUAGGCGGCCACGCAGGUCCGUUGUGAAAACUGGAGGCUCAACCUCCAGCUGUCGACGGAAACCGUAUGGCUAGAGUCCGGAAGAGGAGAGUGGAAUUCCUGGUGUAGCGGUGAAAUGCGCAGAUAUCAGGAAGAACACCAGUGGCGAAGGCAGCUCUCUGGGACGGUACUGACGCUGAGACGCGAAAGCGUGGGGAGCGAACAGG
rnacentral:rRNA from 1 species